GACGAACGCUGGCGGCGUGCUUAACACAUGCAAGUCGAACGGACUACUUUGCUUCGGUAAGGUGGUUAGUGGCGAACGGGUGAGUAACGCGUAGACAACCUACCUCUUAGAUGGGGACAACAUCGCGAAAGCGGUGCUAAUACCGAAUGAAGUGACUUUCCUGCAUGGGAGAGAUACUAAAGGUGGCCUCUAUUUAUAAGCUACCACUGAGAGAUGGGUCUGCGUCUGAUUAGCUAGUUGGCGGGGUAACGGCCCACCAAGGCGACGAUCAGUAGCCGGUCUGAGAGGAUGAACGGCCACAUUGGGACUGAGACACGGCCCAAACACCGACGGGUGGCAGCAGUGGGGAAUCUUCCGCAAUGGACGAAAGUCUGACGGAGCAACGCCGCGUGAGUGAAGAAGGUUUUCGGAUCGUAAAGCUCUGUUGUCAGAGAAGAACGUGUGCGAGAGUAACUGUUCGUGCAGUGACGGUAUCUGGCCAGAAAGCCACGGCUAACUACGUGCCAGCCGCCGCAGUAA
rnacentral:rRNA from 1 species